GGAAUCUUCCACAAUGGACGAAAGUCUGGCGGAGCAACGCCUCGUGAGUGAUGAAGGUUUUCGGAUCGUAAAACUCUGUUGGUAGGGAAGAACAAGUACCGUUCGAAUAGGGCGGUAUCGUGACGGUACCUAACCAGAAAGCCACGGCUAACUACGUGCCAGCAGCCGCGGUAAUACGUAGGUGGCAAGCGUUGUCCGGAAUUAUUGGGCGUAAAGCGCGCGCAGGCGGUUUCUUAAGUCUGAUGUGAAAGCCCCCGGCUCAACCGGGGAGGGUCAUUGGAAACUGGGGAACUUGAGUGCAGAAGAGGAGAGUGGAAUUCCACGUGUAGCGGUGAAAUGCGUAGAGAUGUGGAGGAACACCAGUGGCGAAGGCGACUCUCUGGUCUGUAACUGACGCUGAGGCGCGAAAGCGUGGGGAGCG
rnacentral:rRNA from 1 species